rnacentral:rRNA from 1 species
UACAGAGGGUGCAAGCGUUAAUCGGAAUUACUGGGCGUAAAGGGCGCGUAGGCGGGUUAAUAAGUUAGAUGUGAAAUCCCUGGGCUUAACCUAGGAACUGCAACUGAUACUGUUAAUCUAGAGUGCUGUAGAGGGUAGUGGAAUUUCCGGUGUAGCGGUGAAAUGCGUAGAUAUCGGAAGGAACACCAGUGGCGAAGGCGGCUACCUGGACAGACACUGACGCUGAGGCGCGAAAGCGUGGGGAGCAAACAGG